CAGCAUGCCAAAGGAGAGGGUCACCAUGUAGACCAGGAGGACUGGUACUGACUCUAUAGAGAAAUAUCACUGCUGCUGCAGAAUGCCAGCAAGAAAGAAAACCUCUGAAAUCCAGAAGAUGCUCUGAGAUUCCUCCAGAGACCCCCAUAUCCAGCUGUAAAAGUUAAUGGAUGAUCCCAGGAGCCCACAGUAGGCAGGAUGACAAAGGGCUCAAUAUGUAAUAAAAAGGAUGAUGUACCUCAACUCAACAGGGCUGGGGUGAUCUUGCUCUCAUCGUUCAGGUCUGAGUUCCUCCCGUGGUCUAUUCAUGAGCAAAGCAGGAAUCUCAUUAUGACUGAGGUUGAGUUGCUGACCAGGUGUAAAUGGAAGGGAACAGCACUGAAACUGAUAUCAAUAAGAAUGGAGUCCAAGUUAAAGACAGGUACACCUGAAAUAUAUCAAGAUUUCACUGCAAACUCUGUACUAGGAUGAACAAGCAGAUCCCUGGAUGUAAAGGAGUUUUGAAGUAGCUUAUUCUAGCAAAUGUGGGUCUAUUGUG
rnacentral:lncRNA from 1 species